CUGGAGAAGAGCGGGAGUCAAAUAACAAAGAAGUUGAUAUAUUGCGCCGAUCAUAGAAGGUUCGACAGCCAAGAGGUUGAUUAUAACUAUGUCAUGGUCAUUAACAAAGGACAGAAAAGCAUCGAAUAUGUUUCGGUAAAUCUGGUAUACAUGGAUGGGGACCCUUUGCUCCAAGAAAUAUUCAGGAAGGAGAAAUGGUACCUUCUCCUGAAAACUACCUCAUUAUUUGCAUGUUAUGCUUUAGUUGGACGGAAAUGCUGUAUUUGUCAUUGUACUUUUCAUUUAUUCUUGGAAAUGGAGGACAUGAUAAAAAGAGACAAGUACAGCGAUUUAUAUUCUCAAAUGUUUUUCGUUUUUUCAUUACCAUAAAGAGUGGAGUUUAGGAAGUGUGUUUCUUCAUGAUUUUCCCUCCCAAAGCUUUGUCUCUUUGGCUCAUCAGGUUCAUUGAUUAGCAUUGAAAUCAUGAUCUGCAUUAUCUGUCA